rnacentral:rRNA from 1 species
AGCUCCAAUAGCGUAUAUUAAAGUUGUUGCAGUUAAAAAGCUCGUAGUUGAAUUUUGGCCUUGGCUGGGCGGUCUUUGCAAACGCAUAGCACUUCUCUGGCUGAGGCUUUCCUUCUGGCGAAUUAGCGUGUUAUUUAUUUAAUGCGUUAGGGAACCAGGACUUUUACUUUGAAAAAAUUAGAGUGUUUAAAGCAGGCUUACGCUUGAAUACAUUAGCAUGGAAUAAUAAAAUAGGACUUUGGUUUUAUUUUGUUGGUUUUCGAAACCAAAGUAAUGAUUAAUAGGGAUAGUUGGGGGCAUUAGUAUUGAGCCGUCAGAGGUGAAAUUCUUGGAUUGGCUCAAGACUAACUUCUGCGAAAGCAUUUGCCAAGGAUGUUUUCA